UAGGGAAUCUUCCACAAUGGGCGAAAGCCUGAUGGAGCAACGCCGCGUGGGUGAAGAAGGUCUUCGGAUCGUAAAACCCUGUUGUUAGAGAAGAAAGUGCGUGAGAGUAACUGUUCACGUUUCGACGGUAUCUAACCAGAAAGCCACGGCUAACUACGUGCCAGCAGCCGCGGUAAUACGUAGGUGGCAAGCGUUAUCCGGAUUUAUUGGGCGUAAAGGGAACGCAGGCGGUCUUUUAAGUCUGAUGUGAAAGCCUUCGGCUUAACCGGAGUAGUGCAUUGGAAACUGGGAGACUUGAGUGCA
rnacentral:rRNA from 1 species